GCGGGACAGUCCCCCCAGGUCCAUUCGGGGCCCCCCGGCUCCAUUCGGGACCCCCAGCUCCGUCUCGGCAGCAGGACGGGGCCCCCCGGCUCCGUUGGGUUCCCCCCAGCUCCAUUCGGGGCCCCCCGGCUCCGUUGGGGUCCUCCAAACUCCAUCUCGGAAGCGGGAUGCUUCCCCCCAGCUCCAUUCGGGUCCCCCCGGUUCCCUUCGCGGCCCCCCAGCUCUGUUCAGGACCCCCCGGCUCCAUCUCGGAAGCGGGAUGGUUCCCCCUGGCUCCUUUGGGGUCCCCCCGGCUCCAUUCGGGAUCCCCCGGCUCCGUUGGGGUCCCCCCAGCUCCAUCUCGGAAGCAGGAUGGUUCCCCCCAGCUCCAUUCGGGACCCCCCAACUCCAUCUCGGCAGCGGGACGGUUCCCCCAUCCGGCACGGAAGCGCCUUCGCCCCCCUCCCCGCGCCGGUUCUGCCCCGAAGCGUCCCGCUCCGUUCCRACUGGAUUUGGGGGUUUUAUUUUUAUCUUUUUUGGCCCCAAAACGAUCCGGUCUCUCAAAUCCRGAAGCGGAACCGGAUCGCGGGCACCCGGGAAGCUCCAGCGACCUCCCGUGCUCCGGCUGCCCGCGGCGUUCGCCGUCCCGUCGCCGCCCGUCUCCUCCUUUUCCAGGCCCGCGGCGGCUCCGUUCCCUUCCCCGGCGCCAGGAUCCGACCGCUCCGAGGGCAAAUCCCAGCGGGGGCGGGAUGCUCCGGCRCCGCGGGGGGCCGCCGGCGCGACUCCGGCUCCUUCCGGGAGAUGUUCGGAGCCGGUUUGCAGGUGGUGCAGCCCCAAGGGCACCAGGCAGCGCUCAGGCUUCGCCCUGGCACCGGAGAACGUUCCCUGGCUCCGGCUGCCACGGAGAAGUGCCGCCACCGCAGGGAUUUUUAGCCGCUGGCAGCGCAAUUUGGGAGCUGGAUGGGAGCCGGGGCGGCUCCGGCGUGGGAAAAGGCCGGCAGAGCGGGAUAAAUAAAUAACGGCGACACGUGUUAUCGCYGGGGUUGGGAUAAGAGUUGGGCCUGGAGGUUCGUUUCCUCAUCCGUGUUUUUGGGAGCAGGGGGGGGAAAAAACCCGGCACGAGGGCGGAUUUGGUCCUGCCGGAGGGUGUUUUUUUUGCGGCGGGACAGAGCAUGUUUGGGAGGGGGGAAGCAGCUGCGGAAUGACAGGGAAAAGGGGAGCUUCGCUCGGGAUUCCCCAGCCGAAAAGCGGCCGGGCGGUUCGAGCUCCUCCUGGCGCCCCCGGGCGAGGAUCCGUGCCAAAAAAUUCCCGGCAGGGAGCGAUUUUUUUUGGAGGGAGGCAAGCGGUUGAAUUCCAGCUCGAAAUCCCUAGCGGAAAACACCCCGUCUUGACCUAAAUCUCUCGUUCUCCCCAUUUCUCCGCGGUUUUGGCCGGCAGCAGCGAGGGGGCAACCGCGGCCUCGCUCCAGGCUCAUCCCGGCGGCCCUUCCGUGGCCUUUCGUCUCCGGCGGGAGCCAUCCGUCACGUGGUGCCGGGAUUUCUCCUCGCCGCUGACCCGGGGCCGUGUUACAGUAACCCGGAGAGAGGCGGAGCGGAGCCAGGAGCUGCCAGCGGCUGCUCCGGGGAUCCCGGCGGCCGCAUCCCGCUGGCUCCGCGCGGCCGCUUCGUUUGCUUUUCCCGCUCAUUGAUCCAGAGCCGCGGUGGCUCCGCUCGCUCCGAAGCCGAGGGUCGGUGUCGGUGCCGUUAUUUCGGGUGAGGCAGCCUGGCGCUGCCGGCCGGUGCCGGAUCCCGGCUCCGGCUGUCCUGGGAGCGGAUUAGGCACUGUGAGGGCUCGGGGCCGGCGCGCCGCCACGCUUCCCCUCUGCCGGAGUGAAAAUCCGCCGGGAAAGGCUGCUCCGAGGCCUCCCGGUGCGGAGUGGCCUCGGCUGCCUCGCCGAGGCCGCGGGAGCUGCCCAGAGCCUCGGCCACGAUCCCGGCUGCCGCCUCGGCUCYGUCCAGCUGCCAUCCCGGCCGUGAUCCCGGCUCCUUCCGGCCAUGAUCCCAGCUCUGUCCGGCUGCGAUCUUGGCUCCAUCCAUCUGCAAUCCUAGCUGCGAUCUCGGCUCUGUUCAGCCGCAAUCCCGGCUCCGUCCGGCUAUGAUCCCGGCUCCAUCUGGCUGCGAUCCUGGCUGCGAUCCUGGCUCCAUCUGUCUGCGAUCCCAGCUGUGAUCCUGGCUCCAUCCAGCUGUGAUCCCAACUGUGAUCCUGGCUCCGUCUGGUCACCAUCCCAGCUCCAUCUGUCUGCAAUCCCAGCUCCGUCCAGCCGUGAUCCUGGCUGCGAUCCCGACUGUGAUCCCAGCUCCGUCUGGCUGCGAUCCUGGCUGUGAUCUUGGCUCUGUCCAGCUGUGAUCCCAGCUCCGUCUGGCUGUGAUCCUGGCUGCGAUCCUGACUCUGUCCAGGUGACACAGCCGUGAUCCCAGCCGUGAUCUCAGCUCUGUCUGCCCGCAGUCCCGGCUACGGUCCCGGCUCUGCCCAGCCGUGAUCCCGGCUGUGAUCCCAGCUCCGUCUGGUCACGAUCUCGGCUCCGUCCGCCCGUGAUCCCGGCUGUGAUCCUGGCUGCAGUCUCGGCUCUGUCCGCCCGCAAUCCCAGCUAUGGUCUCGGCUCCAUCCGCCCGCGAUCCCAGCCAUGAUCCUGGCUCCGUCCGGCUGCAAUCUCAGCUCCAUCCGCCCGCGAUCCCAGCUGUGAUCCUGGCUGCAGUCUCGGCUCCGUCCACCUGCGAUGCCAGCCACGAUCCCGGCUCCGUCUGGCCGCGAUCCCAGCUGUGAUCCCGGCUGCAAUCUCGGCUCYGUCUACCUGCGAUCCCGGCUGUGAUCCYGGCUGCAAUCUCGGCUCCGUCCGGCCGUGAUCCCAGCUGUGAUCCCGGCUGCAAUCUCRGCUCYGUCUACCUGCGAUCCCGGCUGUGAUCCUGGCUGCAAUCUCAGCUCUGUCCGCCCACGAUCCCAGCCAUGAUCCCAGCUCCGUCCGGCCACGAUCCCAGCUGUGAUCCUGGCUGCAAUCUCAGCUCCGUCUACCUGCGAUCCCAGCUGUGAUCCUGGCUGCAAUCUCAGCUCCGUCUACCUGCGAUCCUGGCUGUGAUCCUGGCUGCAAUCUCAGCUCUGUCCGCCCGCGAUCCCAACCAUGAUCCCGGCUCCGUCCGGCUGCGAUCCCAGCUGCGAUCCCAGCUGCAAUCUCGGCUCCGUCUACCUGCGAUCCUGGCUGUGAUCCCAGCUGCAAUCUCAGCUCCAUCCACCCACGAUCCCAGCCGCGAUCCCGGCUCCGUCCGGCCACGCCGGCAGAAACGAGAGCCGUCGCCCUCGAGGGUCGCUUGGCCGAAGCGGCGCCGGGGCCACGGGGGGGAAACAGGCGGCUCCUGCCCCGUCCCCCCCCCCCCCCCCCCCCCCCCCCCCCCCCCCCCCCCCCCCCCCCCCGGCCCGUUUUUAGGGAUCAGCCCCCCCCGGGCAGGGAGACGAAGCCGCAACGCCGGCACGGAGGAGGGUUCGGCACCGGAGCCGGGGGGGGGAUACAGCCGUGCCCCAGGGACGGGAGCCCCGGGGGGGGCAAGUUUAAGGCAGGUUUUUGCCCCCCUGGGGGGGGUGGAAUUGGCAUCGGAGCCGCCAAAGGCCGGAAAAUGGUUAAAAACCUGCGUCCCCCCCCCCCCCCCGGGGAACCGGCGGCAGGUUGCUCACGGCUCCGUCGGCACCGGGAGAGAGGAGACGGAUGGAGCCGAGCGGGGAAAAAAAACCUUUGUGGAAAAACGAAAUAAAAAUUAAUGGGGGGGGGGCA
ensembl:lncRNA